rnacentral:rRNA from 1 species
AAUCAAGCGUUUAAGGGCGAUUGGCGGAUGCCUUGGCACUGUAAGACGAUGAAGGACGUGGUAUACUGCGAUAAGUUUCGGGGAGCUGU